CAAACACCAAUAAUGUCCAAAAAGACCC
rnacentral:rasiRNA from 1 species